rnacentral:lncRNA from 1 species
CUUCAGAAGAUCACCUCGAUGACUCUUGGGUGACUGUAUUUGGGUUUCCUCAAGCAUCUGCUUCCUACAUAUUACUACAAUUUGCACAGUAUGGGAAUAUCUUAAAACAUGUGAUGUCUAAUACAGGAAAUUGGAUGCAUAUUCGUUAUCAAUCUAAACUGCAGGCUCGGAAAGCCUUAAGCAAAGAUGGGAGGAUUUUUGGAGAAUCCAUCAUGAUUGGUGUAAAACCAUGUAUUGACAAAAGUGUUAUGGAAAGCAGUGACAGAUGUGCUUUAUCAUCUCCAUCUUUAGCCUUUACACCACCAAUCAAAACUCUAGGUACACCAACACAACCUGGAAGUACUCCUAGGAUUUCUACCAUGAGACCUCUUGCUACAGCAUACAAAGCCUCUACUAGUGAUUAUCAGGUUAUUUCUGACAGACAAACGCCAAAAAAAGAUGAAAGUCUUGUAUCCAAAGCAAUGGAGUACAUGUUUGGCUGGUAGUAGAACACCAAGAAGGAGGUUGCUACACUAAAACAGAGUUAGCAGAGUGCUGCUGGUUCCUUCGGUUAGUUAUAUAACUGUUCCUGCAGUAUUGGAUAGCUAUCUCAUACUUCUUUUAGAAAGAAGCCUUUUUCAUUAAGGAUACAACCUAUUUGUAGCUCGCACUUUAAAAGAUGCUUGAGAUACAUUUUAAAGAAAACUAAAAAUCCCUGUAAAUAGGAUUUUGUGCUUUCUGUAACAGUGCAUGCUUCAGCACAGAAAACUCAGCAUUGAUUAUUGUAAAUUAAAUAACUGAAAUUGUGGUGAGACGUCAUAGUCUUCAUGAGAACGUGGGGGUGAAUUUCAUGAAGGGGAACUAUAGUUAUUUCUACCGACACAAAUAUUAUAAUUAGCAAUUUGAAUUAUGGUCUUUUAAUUUAGAUAGUAUUUAAUAUUUUAAUUAUCCUUGUUUGUAUAUGUCCUGUCACAGAGUGUCCUCUUGGUGUAUUCUAAAACGAGCAUUCUUUUAAAAAACCUAAAGUUUCUUGAUAAUAAACAUUGUCAAUG